AGAGCCAGGCGCAGGCUGCCCGAGGUGACAGGACUCGAGGGCCCGGCGCGGGGACAGCGGCACGGGUGUGUCAGCCGAAAUCGGACUGCAAGACAUAGAGCGUUGACGCUGAAAUAAGAUUGCUUUUCACUGGCGGGGAAGCGAGCUGGACCGAUCAGCGGUUGCCUAUUCAGGUUCUGGACUCUGGUUUUUAUUAUUUAUGAAGAGGUGACCGAAAGCCUUGGGCACGGGGGAAAAAGCUGGAGGGUGACAAUUGAGGGAGAGUGCGCUAGUCUUCUGCUUUACUCCCCUUCGUAGGACUGUAGGAAGCGCGGCGCCGGCCCGCGGCGCUGCGCGGUGGGAGAGGCGGGGAAGGAGGUACGCGGCAGCCGCCGGCGCUCUUCUGGAGAGGUGGGGAUCGAAGACCGGCACGGGGCUGCGGAAGAAAGGCGGGCCUGGGGGAGGCUGGAGGGUGGACCCGGGGGGAGCAUAGCAAGAAGAGUCUGAGCACCAGAUCUUAAAAUCUUGUAAUCUGAAAGACACUCUGUGGCCUAUACCCAGUAACGGAUUUUUUAAAAGUUUGUCCUCUUCCACUUUUCCCUAGCGCCGAAUCCCAGAGCUUCCUCCCCCUCCCCAAGGUCACUAGUGCUUUCAUACUUGCCCUAGACCUGAUCUGAUCCACAGCUAAUCUUUUGCAGAAAACCUCAGAAAGGUGACUUCAUGUGUCUGCCCCCCUUAAAUGUAAAAUGCAGAACACUGGCACGGUACUGCUUUAAUCCAAAGGAAUAACUCUCCCAGUGGAAGAAUUUCUAUAACCUGGCAUUUGAAGCAGGAAGGCCCUUUGAGGAUAGAUUCUUACCAAGGACAUUCAAAUCACCUCAGGUCUGCAAUCGCUCGUCCUGAGAACCUAACAGACUGACCAAGUAGAAAAGAAAGUUUCAAGGAGUGGUGUAUCCUGGGGAUGAGACGUUGUUGGCUGACUGACAGUGUUGAGCCCUCCGUGAAAUAAUGCAAAUUGUCCAGUACACUGAGACAAGAAAGCUAAAAAAGCAGAAUCUAAGUUAUCAGGUCAUCUAAGAAAAAAUCCAAACCUUUGAAAUUUGGAUCACACUUGACACGUUUAGAAACACUGGGGAUGGCCAGGCGCGGUGGCCCAUGCCUGUAAUCUCGGCACUUUGGGAGGCCGAAGCCGGUGGAUCACUUGAGGUCAGCAGUUCGAGACCAGCCUGGCCAACAUGGUGAAACCUUGUCUCUACAAAAAAAAAUACCAAAAUUAGCCGAGUAGGGUGGUGUGCGCCUGUAGUCCCAGCUACUCAGGAGGCUGAGGCAGGAGAAUCACUGGAACCUGGAAGGCGGAGGUUGCAGUAAGCUGAAAUCAAGCCACUGUACUUACUCCAGCCUGGGCAACAGAAUGAAACGUUGUCUCAAAAAAAAAAAAAAAAGAAAGAAAAAGGAAAAAAGAAACACUGGGGACAAGAGUAACACAAUUCACUUAUAUUCCAGAUAUGUGGCAGUUUCACAAAAGUUUAGUCUAUUACAAAGAUGCAAUCCCAAUUUAGAGAUGCUGUUGGCAAAAGAACUGGUUAAAUGCCCAAAGAGGAGUCUGGUAGGAAGACGAAGGAGUCCGGUACUUGCAAAGGAGAAAGUGAGAGAUCCUAUUGUUAGGUGUCACAUAUGAGGUUUGUAAUCAAUCAGUGUUUGGGUUGAUAUGUCUGGCCCAUGGCUCAAGUGUUUUUCUUUUUUUGUUGUUGUUUUUUUGUUUUUUGUUUUUGAGACGGAGUCUCGCUCUGUCGCCCAGGCUGGAGUGCAGUGGCGCAAACUCGGCUCCCUGCAAGCUGCGCCUCCCGGAUUCACGCAAGUCUCCUGUCGCAGCCUCCUGAGUAACUGGGACUACAGGCGCCCACCACAACGCCCGGCUAAUUUUUGUAUUUUCAGUAGAGACGGGGUUUCACCAUGUUAGCCAGGAUGGUCUCAAUCUCCUGACCUCGUGAUCCGCCCACCUCGGCCUCCCAAAGUGCUGGGAUUACAGGCGUGAGCCACCGCGCCCGGAGUUUGUUUUUUUGAGAAGGAGUCUCGCUCAGUUGCCUGGGAUGGAGUGCAGUGGCGCGAUCUCUGCUCACUGCAACAUCCACCUCCCCGGCUCAAGCAAUUCUCCUGCCUCAGCCUCCCGAGUAGCUGGGAUUACAGGCGCUCACCACCACACCCGGCUCAUUUUUGUACUUUUAGUAGAGGCGGGAUUUCACCAUGUUGGCCAGGCCGGUUUAGAACUCCUGACCUCAAAUCAUCUGCCCACCUCGGCCUCCCAAAGUGCUGAGAUUACAGGCGUGAGCCUCCGUGCCGGCCGGCUCAAGUGUUUUUCAUAUGAAAUUUCAUCUUGAGGAAAAGGAUGGUUAUCAAAGACUCAAGCCUAGAAAUGGGAUAGGAGCAAUGUAUAAAUAACAAGUUAGGAUACUGUAAGCUUCUUUUACCAAAUAAAUAGCCAAACCCUGAGAACUUACAUAGAACUUACAUAGAACAGUAAAGAUACCACAGUACUUCGAUUUAUUUUUUUUCAUUGGGACAACAUAUAAUGACAAUUUCCUUAGCAAGCAUGUCCUGCUUCAAAAUGGCUUUAAAUGGCUCCAGCAUCAGCAAUAGUCUUAACAGCAGAUACGUAAACUGUUUUGAAGAGGCCAUGGUUUACUUUUUCCUUCCAUUUCUAUAGCCCUGUCUUCCAUCCAUUUCUUUCUGCAUUCUCAUAUAUUCUCUAACAAACGUACUAUAUACUGAGCACCUACAAUAAUGUCAGCCCCUGUGAAUACAUUGGUAAGCAAAACAGUACAGUCUUUGUUGCCAUGAAAGGGGAGACAAACAUUAACCAAAUAAUUGUACCAAGGAAUAUAUACUUGCUAACCUGUAUAAAUUUUAUAAAAGAAAAACAUUCAUGUUAAAAAUAAAAGGCUUAAUAAAUUCUAGGCUCAUGCCCCUGUAAUCCCAGGGCUUUGGGUUACAGGCUGAGGCAAGAGCAUCGCUUGAGGCCAGGAGUUUGAGACCAGCCUGUGCAACAUAGUGAGUCCCUGUCUCUCCAAAAAAUAAAAAUAGGCAUGGUGGGGCACGCCUUUAGUCCUAGCUACUUGGGAGGCUGAGGUGAGAGAAUAGCUUGAGCAUAGGAAUUCGAGGUUGCAUUGAGCUUUGAUGGCACCACUGCACUCCAGCCUGGAUGACAGAGGAGACUCCAAAUACACACACACACACGCACACACGCGUGCACAUACACACACACACACACAUAUAACCAUAACUUUUUUUUUAAGAGACAGGAUCUUGCUAUGUUGCCCAGGCUGGCUUCAAACUCCUAGACUCAAGCAAUCCUGCUGCCUUAGCCUCCCGAGGAGCAAGGAUUAAACUAACCAUAACUUUUGACAGGGGGACAGGACCAUGUGGUUCAGCUCUAUCACUGGUUAGACAAGGUAUGCCCAGUGGCAAGGGGAUGGUGCCCAGGGCUGCUGCACUUCUACCUGAACACAUGCUGAUUUCCUCCAUUAGUUACCAUUCACUUCUUAAAAUACAUCUAUUUUCAAAUGAAACCAUUUUUCAAUAGAAUGGUAAUACUGUUUAAUGAUAAUUGUUUUCCUUUCUUCCCUUUGUUUAAUUUACUUGCCUUGCAGACAAAUAUUUACUUGGUAAACUUUGAAAGAGAUAGAUUUCUGAUAUCUUGGAUGAAAUCUGUGGAAAAAAACAGGCUACCCAGGACAUUCUGUCUCUCAGAUACACCAUUGAAGAAUAAAUAUCUUUAGGAGGGAAAAGCACUGACUGAUUAUUUGACAAGUAAAAAGUAUGUGUACCUUGUAUGGUUAUGUAAUGACAAAGGUGUUUCUUGGUCCCCCACGUCCAAAAGAAGUACUUACUUUCUCAGUCUAGUCAGUACUUAAUGGAAAAAUCAGUCUAUCUAUACCCAGACUAAACUUAUUAAAAACUGUCCUGUAACACACAGCAUUGAUUUAUUAAUAUGAAACAACUUAGAAUAAAAACAUUAUGGUAAAUCAGUAUUACCAUCAAAUAAUCUUUUAAUAUUAUUGAAUAUGUUCCACCUGUAGUACUGCUAGACAAGAAGCAUCAUUCCUGACUACAAAGAGCUUACAGCCCUUAUGAUUAUUUCUCUAUCUUCCUUGAAACUAUUCAUGGUUUGUUUGCAUUUUUUUCUUAUCAAGCCAUUUGGAUGAAGCAUAAGAAUCUUACCUUAAUUAUGAGAAACUCAUUGUUUUCAUAUAAAUUAAAAUGUAUUAAUGAUAACAGGAUUGGAUGGUUGAACAUUUUCUAAGAAAACCUUUAAGUUGAGCAUUAGCUGGUCUCUGAAGAUUUCAUCCAAUAAAGCCUUUAGGAAGUGAAGUAUUUCGUGAAGGUUCCUCCUUUUAAAAAGUCCCUUAAUAUGUGCUCUUAGAAAUGGCAUCCCACAUUUCACUAUGACUGGACUGGCAAAAUAAGUGCUUGGGCAAAAGCAGCAAAGAUCACGUUUGUCAUCAUGUAGCUGCACAGAAUACAUGCAUGUAACUGCCAAAAAUCAGGCAGCUGUCUCACCCUUCUAGAGGCAAAGAAACAUAGUCUUCCAAAAUUUACUUGUGUAAAACCAAAAUAAAAUCAUAAAUGUGAAAAAAAUCUCCUUCCUUUGAAGUUAUACUAAAUCUGGGUCAAAGGAAAUUUAAGGAAUUUUGUUAUUUCCUAGAAAAGCUAAAGUGAACCUGUGGAAUUUCAAGAAGGCAUACCUAUAACAAUAUUAGACAGCUUUAUAGGUUGGCCAUAAAAAUCUGUAAACACAGCAAAUAUACCUAAUAAAUGGUUUGUUGUUAUUACGUAAUAUGUUUAGUGACAUUACAUGAUAUGUUCAGUGACAUUACAUGGUAUGUGAAUUGUGUUGUCCCUUGUAACAAUGCUCAUGUUACAAAGCAUGGUGCAUUGAUACAACAUUUUUCCCAAUCCAAGCAAAAGCAAAAUCAGCUGCAAUGUGUUGCCUCAGUUGAUUUCUCCCUCUGAUUUCUCCUGAAUAAACCUGUACCUUUAGCAUACCUCAGAAGAAGUAAGUAAUCAGGGAGUUCAAUGUGUAAAAUCAAUAUAUACUAUAAUAUUAUUUACUUAAGUCUGUAAAAAAUAAAAUAACAUUGUCUGUGUUUCCAGACUUUACGGCCACCUUUUUAUAAAGGUAAACUGGUAUUUAACUUUCUGUUGACCUUCAGCAUUUUAUUUUCAGCCUACAUAUAGGUAAAAGCCCAGUGAAAUCUGCCAUUGUAUUUACUUUUAAGUUGUUAACAGAUUAUUCUUCUCACAGAUACUAUAGAUACUGUAAUUGACUCUGUUUAUCUCUUUCUGUUGGCUCUCGAAAGCCUAGAGCAAAAUGUGUGGCCCAUCUGUACAGAAUCUUAUUGCUUGCAUUUUUAGAAGUAACCUCAAGGUUCAUUUUAACUUUCUUAUAUCAUUUUUCCCAUUGUACUCAUUUCCUUACCUACUUAAAAAAAUGAAAAGCAACUUGUUUUUCUCUUCCCAAAUAUAAAAUAUAUUUGCUAUAUGAAAUGUGUUAAAUACAUAUAAGAGAAAAGAAGAAAGUGAAAUGAUCUGUCCUUUUCACUGACCACAUUUAGUUCUUGAUAGUUUGGCAUUUUCCAAUGCAUACAUAUACAUUUUAAAAAGUGGCUUAUUCGGCCAGGCGUGGUGGCUCAUGCCUAUAAUCCCAGCACUUUGGGAGGCGGAGGCGGGUGGAUCACCUGAGGUUGGGAGUUCGAGACCAGCCUGGCCAACAUGGCAGAAACCCCAUCUCUACUAAAAAUACAAAAUUAGCCGGGCAUGGUGGCACAUGCCUGUAAUCCCAGCUACUCAGGAGGCUGAGGCAGGAGAAUCACUUGAACCCAGAAGGUGGAGGUUGCGGUGAGCUGAGAUCACGCCAUUACACUCCAGCCUGGGCAACAAGAGCGAAACUCCGUCUCAAAAAAAAAAAAAAGAAAGAAAAAAAAAAAAAGUGGCUUAUUCUACACAUAAUAUUUAUCAUUCAUCUCUGAAUUUAACAGCAUAUAUUGAACAUCUUUAAUAGAAUCAUAUACUAUUCUGCAACAUCAUUUUAAACAAUUGCAUGGCAUACGCAAAACGGAUAUGCUGUCAUUUAACCAACUUCCCCCUGUUGAAUGUUUAAAUUGCUUUCAAUUCUUUACUGCUAUAAACAAUUGUGCAACAUAGCUAAACACAGUGAAUAUAUCUAAAUAUUUGGCCUCACCCUUGAUUAUAUCAGUAAAGUAAAUUCCUAAAAGUGGAAUUGCUAAGUCAGAUAGAAUGCAGACUCUUAAGAUUUUGUAGUUUGCCAAGUUUCCCUAACAAAAGAUGGCACCAGCCAAACACACACACGAUAUCUGAGUGGCUUCUCUCUAGCCCCCUUACCAGUAAUUUUUAAAAAAUCUUUCUUAUUAAUUUUGUAAGUCAUUUUAAGUCAUUACUGAUAUAUGUGAAAUACAAACAAAGAAAAAUGUUAAAAUCUUCUAGUUAAGUAAAAAGCAAUGUGUACACAUCUAAACAUUAGCUUAGGUUAACAUGUUUUUAAAUAUUCAUAUCAAAAAUCACCUAAAUGCCUAAAAAUUUAUGAUUAGGGUUGUUGUUCCUUUGCCAAAAUUUUGUUUGGUGUCAUAUAUUUCCCCCACCCCUCCCACAUACCUGCCAAAAAUAAAGUUUCCAGAAAGGAAGUUCUAUACAAACUCAAAUUGUUGUUCAUCAUUUUCAUCUUUAGUACACAUGCACAAGCCAAUAAAAGUGAGUCAAUAUUUCACCAAGUUCCAUAGCAAAAAAAAAAAAAAAAGCAAAGUAUCAAAAUUUGUCUCAUCAUCAAUAGAAUGAUAGCCAGAGAAGACAUUUUAUUGUCCAUUUCUCAAAAAGAAAACUUAGUGUCGUGAUUUAUAUUAUCCAUCAUGGUCCAAUCACCUUCACUAUCAGUCACUUCAUCAAUGUGCCCCAUGCUUUAUAUAGGAAAACCACCUACUAACCAACUACAAGAUGGACAUGUACUUUGAGUACUUUUGUAACCUGCUGUGGUUGAAUAUUUGUGUCCCCACUAAAUUCAUAUGUUGAAAUCCUAACCCCCAGGGUGAUGGUAUUUGGAGGUGUGGGACUUUUGUAGGUGAUUACAUCAUGAGAGUUGAGCCCUUGUGACUAGAAUUAGUGCCCACAUAAAAGAGACCCUAUAGAGGUAGCUAGCCCCUUCCACCAUGUGAGGACACAGUGAGAAGUCAUCAUCUGUGAACCAGCAAAAGGUCCUUACCCAACACCAAAUCUGCUGGUGCCUUGAUCUUGAACUUCUCACCCUCCAGAACUAUGAGAAAUAAAUUUCUGUUUAUAAGCUAUCUAGUCUAUGUAUGGUAUUUUGUUAUAGUAGCCUUAACACACAAAGACACAACCUUUAUGGGUGAAAUAUGCUAUUCCAUUCAAGUUGUCACCCAGAUCCCUCUUGAAUUAACUGGAUAACAUUUCAAGAUAUGUCUCUUAGUCCAUUUUGUGCUGCUAUACUAGAAUACCACAGAUGGGGUAAUUUAUAAUGAACAGAAACUUACUGGCUCACAGUCUGGAGGCUAGGAAAUUCAUUAUCAAGGUGCUGGCAUCUGGCAAAAGCCUUCUUGCUGUGUUAACAAAUGGCCAAAAGGUAAAGAGAGAGGAACUCUGUGUCCUCAUGUGGUGGAAGAGCAGAAAAGCAAAGAGGCACAAACUCACCCUUUUUAAAUGGCCUUAAUCCCCCGCUGUGACAACUAAGCCCUCAUGGCCUAAUCACCUCUCUAAGAUCCUACCUCUUAAUACUGUUACAAUGGCAAUUUAAUUUCAACAUGAGCUUUGGAGGGGACAACAUUCAAACGGUAGCAGUAGGUACAUAACUGUCAGCAUAGAAUCAAUUUAAAUGACUUGCCCAAUACCUGGAAUGGAACGUGCACCCCGGGCCAUGUUAGCUGUGUUCUAAUUAACUGUGCUGAUGUUUCUGAGGGUAAAUGGCUUAGAAUGUGUAGUCAGUUAAAUAGUUUCCCUUCAAAUUCAUGUCUACCUGGAAUCUCAGAAUGUGCACUUAUUUGGAAAUAGGGUUGUUGCAGAUGUCAUUGGUUAAGAUGAGUAAUGCAUCUAUAAGCCAAAGAACACCAAGCCACCACCAGAAGUAAGAAGAGAGGCACAGAACAGAUUCUCCCUCAGAGCUUCCAGAAGAAACCAAUAUUGCUGACACCUUGAUUUCAAACUUCUAGCCUUCAGGAUUGUGAGAUAAUAAAUUCCUAUUGUGUUAAGCCACCCAGUUUGUGAUUCUUUAAUAUAGUAGCCCUAGCAAAGUAAUAUAAAAGGUAACUAUGAUGCUUUAAAAAGCAUCAAUUAUAGGAUUCAAUGUAGUGUAGCUAUGGCAUCUGUCACCAGGUUAAUUGCCAGAAUUGACUGACUGCUCUGGCAUCCUCCUAGUCCAGAGUUCCCUUCCUCUGAGAGCUCCAUGUGUGUUCUUCCCAAAGUGUCAACUCAAUCAAAAAGAAUGACAUUUCCAAUCUGACAAAGUCUAUUUUUAGUCAAGGUAUGUGGGGAGCUGUACUCCCUGGCUAGAGCUUUCCAAUAAGCACUGAAAUCCCUUUGCAAGCAAAUGUAGGUUAGCCAAAUCUGUUUUUACAAAGCGCCCCUCUCCACCUGUGAUUCUGUUAGAAUAUCAGUCAAAUCAUAGCUCCAUAUCAGUUUCACAGAAAGCAUGUAGAUUUAUAAGAUUAAACUUAUAUAAGCCUUGACCUUGAUGAAGUCCUAGUCAUUUCAAAGACAAGCCUUUAUAUUUUCUUUGAUAUUACAUCAGAGCAGGUACUCCAUAAUUUAUCAUAGUAGAAGCUGAAAAAUAAUUACAUAUAAUUACAUUUUUUUUACUUUUUUUUUUUUUGAGAAGGAGUCUCACUCUGUAUCCAGGCUGGAGUGCAGUGGUGUGGUGUGAUCUCAGCUCACUGCAACCUCCACCUCCUGGGUUCAAGCAAUUCUCCUGUCUUAGCCUCACAAGUAGCUGGAAUUACAGGCACCCACCACCAUGCCUGGCUAAUUUUUGUAUUUUUAGUAGAGACAGGGUUUUACCAUUUUGGCCAGGAUGAUCUCAAUCUCCUGACCUCGUGAUCCACCCACCUCGGCCUCCCCAAGUGCUGAGAUUACAGGUGCGAGCCACCAUGCCUGGCCUACUUUCUUAUUGAAAUAUUAUUUAUACCAUAAAGCAAGACUCUGAAUGUUCAGGUAAAACUUCAUGUUGUAAGGAAUUUUAAACUUUCCCUCUGGAAGUUCUGUAAUUGAGUCUGCUGAAAUAAAUUGACAAUAAACAAAUUAACAGGAGAAGGCAUACAAAUUUAUUAAUGUGUACAUGUGCACAAGAGGCACACAAAAUAUGAGACUCGAAGAGCCAGAUGGUUGAAGUUUAAAUACCCUCUUCAUAGGAGAGAGGGAAGUGGGGGAUGUAGGCAAUUUGAGAGAAAGAGUAAAUGAUUUUUAGGUAAAAUUAAUGGUUCCAAAGGACAGACAGUAGCCUGGGACAAAGUUUCUCUGUGCUCUAGGGAAGGUGGCAGCAAGUUACAGGAAGGAGAGGGGCAGAACUGCACUGCGAACAAAGGUUGGCCUAUUAUGUAAAUAAAGUCUCUCAGGUUAAUAAAAAAGUUCCAGAGCAGCCUCCAGAAGAAUAAGAAUAUCCUGUCUGGGCAUGGUGAUGACUUUUAAUCUUUACUCGUGACUAAUCUUGACUGGUUGUUUGAUGCAAUUCCUAGGGAGGGAGUUUAAGACAGUUACAUUUCUUUUAAAAGAACUUCCCUCAGUCAAAUAUGGGAACUUCAGAGAAAACUUAUCCCUGCACAUUGGAAGGGAAGAUGGGGAACAGCAGGUCAGGGAGAGAGAGAGACCUUGGUUCUGCAAUUUAUUUCUGAGGCCUUUUAAUCUCUUUUGUUCGAAGCACUCAGCAUGCCAAAGCACCAUAUUUUGGGAUAUUGUUUUCUGAGCCCCAACAUUGUCUAUGGAGAGGACCGAUGAAAAUUAAUCAUACCCAUAGGAAACUCAUCAAGUGCAGACCUAGUCCAUUCCUCUCUAUAUCAAAAGGAAAUCUUGACAUUAAAAAAAAUUUUUUUUAAAGCUUCAAUGUUAUACUGUAAAACAAAAUGAAAACUAUUCAUUUUAGUCUAUACAGAAAUAGAAAACCAGUUAUCUAAAUAAAUUGCUUAGGGGAUAGAUUCUGAUCCCAGGUCAGCCUUUGAAGCAUCCAAUGAACUUGGCUAUGCUUAAUCUAAUAUGCAUUGAGAAGGAUGUCUUUAGUAUACGGGGUUGACAUCAAAUUUAACUAUAGAAACAUUUCAGUUAGACAUCAAGUGGGCAACUCUUGAUGAUUCCACUGAAUAAGAAAUAAUUGCUGCUAAUUAGAAGCUACCUUUUUUAUGUCUCAACUAGUCUUUGAAAAGAGAUUACCAGUGAUAUUAUUUAUUGAGUUAUUUUAAUAUCCAUUUUGUGAAGAUAUUAGUAUUUGUUGUAUUCAGAAAAAUUCUAUAAAAAACAUAGAUAAAUAUUCUGUAAAACACUGAAAUAAAAUCUUUUAAGGAAAUAUUUUCAGGCCAGGGGCAGUGGCUCAUGCCUGUAAUCCCAGCACUUUGGGAGGCCAAGGCAGGCAGAUCACUUGGGCCCAGGAGUUCAAGACCAGUGUGGGCAACAUGCUGAGACCCUGUCUCUAUUAUUUUUUAAAAAAUAGAAAGAAAGAGGGCCGGGCACAUUGGCACACACCUGUAAUCCCAAUACUUUAGGAGGCCAAGGUGAGCAGAUCACCUGAGGUCAGGAGUUCGAGACCAGCCUGGCAAGCAUGGCAAAACCCUGUCUCUACUAAA
rnacentral:lncRNA from 1 species